rnacentral:rRNA from 1 species
AGAUUGAACGCUGGCGGCAUGCCUUACACAUGCAAGUCGAACGGCAGCACGGGAGCAAUCCUGGUGGCGAGUGGCGAACGGGUGAGUAAUACAUCGGAACGUGCCCAGUUGUGGGGGGAUAGCCCGGCGAAAGCCGGAUUAAUACCGCAUACGACCUAAGGGUGAAAGCGGGGGAUCGCAAGACCUCGCGCAACUGGAGCGGCCGAUGGCAGAUUAGCUUGUUGGUGGGGUAAAAGCCUACCAAGGCGACGAUCUGUAGCUGGUCUGAGAGGACGACCAGCCACACUGGGACUGAGACACGGCCCAGACUCCUACGGGAGGCAGCAGUGGGGAAUUUUGGACAAUGGGCGCAAGCCUGAUCCAGCCAUGCCGCGUGCGGGAAGAAGGCCUUCGGUUGUAAACCGUCUUUGUCAGGAAGAACGGUCUGAUCUAAUAAAUUGACUAAUGAGUACCUGAAG